CCUUACCCGGGGAGACCCCGAUUAUGAAAGUAGUUGGGGAGUCAGCAGAGGCCGUAGUAGCGAAGACGCCCGUUGAAAGACGGGAAGAGCGAAGGGC
rfam:Smithella sp. F21 contig_77, whole genome shotgun sequence.